rnacentral:lncRNA from 1 species
AUCUCACAUACAUAUACAUAUACGGUUUUUUAAUUGGUUCCAUUCGCUGACCUGGCCAAUUUAUUGACGUUCAAGAAAAGCAAUAGAAAGACUUCCACCAAUCUUAUUUAACACUUUUCUGGCCAAUUAGAUUAAUUCGAAUCUUGAAUUCGGAUUGCUUGAUGUUGAAAAAUCACUACUUAUUACCUUCCUUCACGCUAAGAUGAUUAUUAUUUUAAGAACCAUAGUAAGUUUGUUAUGCUAUCCAUAAGCUUACC